AUUGAACGCUGGCGGCAGGCCUAACACAUGCAAGUCGAACGGUAGCACAGAGAGCUUGCUCUCGGGUGACGAGUGGCGGACGGGUGAGUAAUGUCUGGGAAACUGCCCGAUGGAGGGGGAUAACUACUGGAAACGGUAGCUAAUACCGCAUAACGUCGCAAGACCAAAGUGGGGGACCUUCGGGCCUCACACCAUCGGAUGUGCCCAGAUGGGAUUAGCUAGUAGGUGGGGUAAUGGCUCACCUAGGCGACGAUCCCUAGCUGGUCUGAGAGGAUGACCAGCCACGCUGGAACGGGGACACGGUCCAGGCGCCUACGGGAGGCAGCAGCGGGGAAUAUUGCACAAAGGGCGCAAGCCUGAUGCAGCCAUGCCGCGUGUAUGAAGAAGGCCUUCGGGUUGUAAAGUACUUUCAGCGGGGAGGAAGGCGGUGGAGUUAAUAACUUCACCGAUUGACGUUACCCGCAGAAGAAGCACCGGCUAACUCCGUGCCAGCCGCCGCGGUAAUAC
rnacentral:rRNA from 1 species